UAAUAAGAUUAAUUUAAAUUAUUCUAUUACAAUAAAAACAACGAAACAUGGAAGUCACUAACGGAACAGCAGAGGAAGUGGAAGACUGUGAAUUUUUCACCAACAUAACAGAAAAGAUAGAAAAAGGAAUUUCUGAUUUAAAAAAGAUCGUUAAUAGCAUCAACCAGAUGAGAGUUGAAGCAGCGUAUUUACAAUCUGAUCUUCUAACAACAAUCGAAGCGAACACUUGGCAGGACAUUGCCAGCCUAGUUGGGUUAACUUCUAUAGAAGUUAACCCACAAGAAGUUAACCUCAAAUAUUGACUCGGAAGUCAUUAUGAAUGUCAUUCCAAAAAACUAAUGCAAUUCGAUUCCCGUGAGGCCAGUAGGAGGCUCUAUCUCUCUCUAACGUGAGAAUUUGAAGAUUUUUUUUAAGAGAAAGUCCGAAAGUCUUUGGAUACAAUUAAAAAUGUAAUUUGUUAAUUUCGAUUCAAUAAAGUAUUGGUGGUUUUGUCUCUUUCAUUUCAAACUAGUCAUUUAGUGCCUCGCUUCACUGAUUAAAUUUGUAGAUGGGAAUUAAUUUUAUUAAAAAUUAAAUUUUAUUGAAGGCCGACAA